AACGUAGGAGACAAACGUUAUCCGGAGUUACUGGGCGUAAAGGGCGCGUAGGCGGCACUGUUAGUCAGGCGUGAAAGCCCCGGGCUCAACCUGGGAACCGCGCUUGAGACUGGAGAACUAGAGUUCGGGAGAGGAUGGUGGAAUUCCCAGUGUAGAGGUGAAAUUCGUAGAUAUUGGGAAGAACACCGAUGGCGAAGGCAGCCAUCUGGACCGACACUGACGCUGAGGCGCGAAAGCGUGGGGAGCAAACAGG
rnacentral:rRNA from 1 species